rnacentral:tRNA from 1 species
AUUUAAGUAAUUUAAUAAAAAUAUCAAUUUGUGGAAUUGAAAAUGUAAGUUUACCUUAAAUA